rnacentral:rRNA from 1 species
UCAUAAUCGAGUGUUUUAUGGCACUCUUUAAAAAAUCCAUAUCCACCUUGUGUGCAACGUUUUUGAACUCUCUCUGGCGUUAAAAAACCAAGAGGGUUUGAUUAACUUAACUUAACACCUUUAAAGCAGUUUGUCUGAAUAUCUAUUUCUGAAUAAACAUAAUUCAAAAAUACAACUUUCAACAACGGAUCUCUUGGCUCUCGCAUCGAUGAAGAACGCAGCGAAAUGCGAUACGUAAUGUGAAUUCCAGAAUUCAGUGAAUCAUCGAAUCUUUGAACGCAUAUUGCGCUCUUUGGUAUUCCGAAGAGCAUGCUUGUUUGAGUAUCAGUAAACACCUCAAAGUCUUUUUUUUUCUUGAAGAAAAAAGACCUUGGACUUGAGCAAUCCCAACUCUUCCUUUCAGAAGAGGCGGGUUGCUUGAAAUGCAGGUGCAGCUGGACAUUCUCCUGAGCUAAAAGCAUAUUCAUUUAGUCCCGUCAAACGGAUUAUUACUUUUGCUGCAGCUAACAUAAAGGGAGUUUGACCGUUUUGGCUGACUGAUGCAGGAUUUUCACAAGAGUCUUCAAAACGCUCUUGUUAAACUCGAUCUCAAAUCAAGUA